CCGAGCCCCGUGCGCUGCGGGCUCUGCGCCCUAGCCAGCUGCGCUCGCCGAUCGCCGCCCGCUCCCCCGAGGCCUUGGCGCCGCCGCCAGGGCGCGGGGCAAACAAAGGAGGCAGACAAAGGCGAGCGCAGCCCCGCGGCCGUGUGGGCACCGGGCGAGGCGGGCCCGCUCCUCCCGGAAGGACCCCGGAGCCUGCCCCCUCCGCUUGCUGCGCGACACUGACAAGUCCUCAUCAGGCUCGUCAGCAGAAAAAAGAUAGCCAGGAACCCACACGUAUUCUGAAGAUUUAUUGAGUCAACCCACAGACACCCAGCCCAGCGCCUACCAUUCGGCUGCAGCUUCCAAAGGCAGCCAAGGAUGACCACCCUCACGCGCCAAGACCUCAACUUCGGCCAAGUGGUGGCCGACGUGCUCUCCGAGUUCCUGGAGGUGGCCGUGCACUUGAUCCUCUAUGUGCGCGAGGUCUACCCGGUGGGCAUCUUUCAGAAGCGCAAGAAGUACAACGUGCCGGUUCAGUUCAGAGAUGUUAAGUCAUUUGCCGGUGGCUACACAGCUUCUCCCCCACUACCCCCCAAGACAGAGCUUCUCUGUAUAGCCCCAGCUCCAUAGACCAGGCUGGCUUCCUUCAACUGAGAGAUCCGCCUGCGUCUGCCUCCUGAGUGCUGAGAUUAAGAUGUCCUGCCACCCAGAGCUGAACCAGUACAUCCAGGACACACU
rnacentral:lncRNA from 1 species